GCUGGGUGUGGUGGCAUGUGCCUGUGGUCCCAGCACUCAGGAGGCUGAGACAGGAGGGCUGCAUGGGCCCAGGAGUUGGCUGGGGUGUGCUGUGCCAAUGGAGUGUCUACGCUAAGUCUGUCAUCACUAUGGUGAGCUCCUGGGAGUGGAGGACCACCAGGCUGCCUAAAGAGGAGUGAACCAGCCCAGGUCAGAAACAGAGCAGGACAAAAAGCUCCGGUGCUGAUCAGUAGUGGGACUGCGCCUAUGAUUAGCCACCUCACUCCAGCCUGGGCAACAUGGCGCGACCACAUCU
rnacentral:SRP_RNA from 10 species